GGCCCGUUGGUCAAGUGGCCUAAGACUCCGGCCUCUCACGCCGGCAACAGGGGUUCGAAUCCCCUACGGGUCACCA
rnacentral:tRNA from 2 species